CUGCCUUUUUUGCAACUAAUAAAAAUAUAAAUACAAAUGAAAUCCCAUUUCAUCUCAAACUUCAGAGGAAAUUUGCAAAAUACUUACUUUUUGUAAAAGUUUAUUCAAAUUAAAGAUAUGGAGAGAAAUUGUUCUCCAUGGACAGAUAUUAGAUGAAACAAUAAGCUUUAUAGUGGUUAAGUUAUAAAGUAAAGAUAAGUAGUUUGGGUUGGUAGUGUCCUCUUCCAGGGUCUUGACUUUGCAUCUGGGUUAUGUUAUUUUGGCAAGUGCUACUGAAGCUCCUUAUUUUCUGAUGAGGAUGUUUAGUUUGGAGGAAGUUAAUGAGCAGGGACGGGAAAGUGUUCUAUGGUAUCAAGACAAGAAAAUUGUGGAGACCAGCAGCAUUACUAGUGUUCCCCUGUUCAUCUGUUCCCUACCUUCAACAUAAUCAGCAGAAAGAUCUUUCAGUAGACACAAAGACUAGCAAGGACAGAGUAUAUAACACUGCAUUGUUCUUUACAAAAACUUAUUUUCUCUACAGCAAUGAAGUACUCUUUCUAUGAGCAGUUACAAGCACAGAAAAUGUUGCCUACCAUAGAAUGAAAGACUUCCUUGAAAUUAUAUUACAUUUAAGAAGAGGAAUUACAUUAGAAAAGUCUUCAGCUACAGUUCCCCAACCACAGACUUGGGAACAUAUUGACUUGACUGGGACCUGCCCUGCCUAUACAAACUGACUGACCAGCAAAACCAAAGAGAUUGUGUAGCCUCUCAAGCUGGGUUUUUCUCUCUUUUGAAAGUAAGCAUGACUUGAAUCCCUUAUACCCUCGUCAUACUCAAACCUCAUUCUGGACCUCAAUGCAACAGUCAUGAUUUCCUGAAGACAAACAGCCUCAGCCCUGACUUUGGAGCCGGUCCUCCAUCGCUAGCACAUACAGCUCAGGACCUCUGCUCCUGAGCCUUACUAUCAGCCUCAGAAUCCCCUUGGCUGCUUCCACUCAAGGUAUUCCCCAUCUGAGUCCAGUGUCUUUUUUUGUCCAGGACACUCCACCCUCAAGCUGACUUAUUUCAACUGCAUGCCCUCCGUGGAACGCUGGCACUCAGAGAAUUGGGGACAGACACACCUAAUUUCACAGAUGGGCAGGCCCUGAACUAAGCUCAGCAACCAUGCGAAACGAUUAUUAAUGAUGAUGUAACGAGUUUUGGAGUGAGAUGGACUUGAUGUUGUGGGGGCUAGCUGAAAAUAAGGAUGUUUUCAUGUCAUGGUCUGGUUAGAAAAUGGCUCUUUCUAUUGACAUGAGGGAGAAAUUGCAGGAUCCCAAGAGACAAACUUGCUACAGCGAUUCACUAUCCCUUUAUUUCUUUGUAAAAGCAGUGUCAAACAUUAUCCAAAUCAUUUCCAGCUCUUCUCCCAUCUUCUGUGUGAAGGAAAGAUCCAGGCAUUUCCCCAGCGGCCCAAGCCUCCUAUACGGCUCUAAUCAUGAGGUGACAGGGCAGGCAGCUGGCCUUGCUGGCUUGACUGGCAUCCAUUCCAACAGGGGAUAAGCCACACAAGUAUUCUAACCCCUUCUAUGACUUCCCUCAUCAAAGAAAUAUGCCUUCUCAACAGGAAGAGCCUUUCUGUUCUUUUUAAAACUUUUUUUUUACUGUGAAAUGUAAAAUACAGCAUAUGUACAGAAACAUUUAUAAAAUAUAAAUGCACAGUUUAAUAAAUGUUUGUAAACAUUCCUAAAAUGACCUCCAAGGACAAAACAAACAAACAAAACCAUUUUGCAUCCGAAAAGCAUUCAACAUACAAUUCAUAAUUAAAGCUUUCAACUGUACCUGAAAUAACCCCAAUCUGACAUUUAUGGUCAUCAUUUUUUUCCUUUUUGUUAUAGUUUUAAUACUUAGUGUGAGUCUCCAAAUAAUGUGGUUUAGUCUUGCUUGUUUUUUUACCAUUCUGUAAAUGGAAUUAUAUGGUAUGUAUCUUCAGUCUGGUUUCUUUUGCUCAUUGUUGUUAUAUUUUUGAGAUAUUCCUCUGUGCUUAUCUAAUGAAUGUAUAGCAGACAUUUACUUAUAUUCAUCAAUGUAUAGU